rnacentral:rRNA from 1 species
UACGGAGAGUGCAAGCGUUGUUCGGAAUCAUUGGGCGUAAAGGGUGCCUAGGCGGCCCGUCAAGUCCGGUGUGAAAUCCCUCGGCUCAACCGAGGAACUGCACCGGAAACUGACAGGCUUGAGUGUUGGAGGGGGCAACGGAAUUCCCGGUGUAGAGGUGAAAUUCGUAGAUAUCGGGAGGAACACCAGUGGCGAAGGCGGUUGCCUGGCCAAACACUGACGCUGAAGCACGAAAGCGUGGGGAGCAAACAGG